GACGAACGCUGGCGGCGUGCUUAACACAUGCAAGUCGAACGGAAAGGCCCUGCUUGCAGGGUACUCGCGUGGCGAACGGGCGAGUAACACGUGGGUGAUUUGCCCUGCACUUCGGGAUAAGCCUCGUCAACUGGGUCUAAUACCGGAUAGUUGCCAUUUUUAGUGUGAUGGUUGGAAAGUUUUUUCGGUGUUUGGUGAGCUCGCUGCCUAUCAGCUUGUUGGUGGGGUAAUGGGCUACCAAGGCGGCGACGGGUAGCCGGCCUGAGAGGGUGGACGGCCACCUUGGGACUGAGGUACGGCCCAGGCUCCUACGGGAGGCAGCAGUGGGGAAGAUUGAACAAUGGGCGCAAGCCUGGUGAAGAGAGGCCGCGUGGGGGAUGACGGCCUUCGGGUUGUAAACUCAUUUCGCUAGGGACGAAGCUUUUUGUGACGGUACCUAGAUAAGAAGCACCGGCUAACUACGUG
rnacentral:rRNA from 1 species